UACCAGCUCUCCGAGCGGUGUGGAUGUUUAUUGGGCCUAAAGCAUCCGUAGCUGGCUGGGCAAGUCCCCUGUUAAAUCCACCGAUUUAAUCGUUGGUGUGCGGGGGAUACUGUUCGGCUAGGGGACGGGAGAGGCCGACGGUAUUUUCGGGGUAGGGGUGAAAUCCUAUAAUCCCGGGAAGACCACCAGUGGCGAAGGCUGUCGGCUAGGACGCGCCCGACGGUGAGGGAUGAAAGCUGGGGGAGCGAACCGGAUUAGAUACCCGGGUAGUCCCAGCUGUAAACGAUGCAGGCUAGGUGUUUGGGCGGCCACGUGCCGCUCUAAGUGCCGCAGAGAAGUCGUUAAGCCUGCCGCCGUGGGGACGUACGGCCGCAAGGCUAGAAACUUAAAGGAAUUGGGCGGGGAGCACCGACGAAGGGGUGAAGCUUGGCGGUUU
rnacentral:rRNA from 1 species